rnacentral:rRNA from 1 species
UACGUAGGGGGCAAGCGUUGUCCGGAAUCAUUGGGCGUAAAGAGCGUGUAGGCGGCCAGAUAAGUCCGCUGUGAAAUCUCGAGGCUCAACUUCGAGCUGUCGGUGGAAACUGUCUGGCUAGAGUCCGGAAGAGGAGACUGGAAUUCCUGGUGUAGCGGUGAAAUGCGCAGAUAUCAGGAGGAACACCGAUGGCGAAGGCAGGUCUCUGGGCCGAUACUGACGCUGAGGAGCGAAAGCGUGGGGAGCGAACAGG